CGAGAAGUCAUGCGAAUGGCAUCGUUUACAGGUUCCUCGUCUCGGUCGAGGUUCCCCACGUAGUAUCUUGUCACAAAUGGAAUCUGUACGAUCACAGAACUACUCAUUUUCUGUCGCCUUUUAACUACCUGUUUGAUCACGAUAGUUUUCAAAGGCUGCUAUGCCCGGGACGUCUGAAUACCAGACAUCGGGACGCAAAUCAUCUGCAAGCGGAAAUGGUUAUUAAAUAGCCUAGCAUUCUUUGAAAGGACAAGGUCACAUUUGUAGAGCACAUCACAUGACAUCAAAAAACGUAGCAAAGAAAGGUGGUGCGUUCUCUCAAACACUUUCUUGUUCUGAAAUCGUCGGAGGUUUGUGAUGACAAACCCUUUUCCUGCCGGAGCGGAUGAGCUCAGUUCAGCAACAUUUGCUCUUUUAGUGAGAUGAAUGGCGAUGGCCUUUUUGGGGCCUGGGAAGUCCUUAUGCUGAGACCUAUAGAUAGCUUAUUGCUUUUGCAGCCAGGCGGGAUGAUAAAGUACCGUCCUUCUGACCACCCACACUGUUUGCUCUUCAUAUCGCUCCGUGUGUUACUCCGGCUCUGUGCAUGGUUGCACCUCUAAUCUCCUUCACUUGUUUUUUACCUCUUUCUUCCCCUUUCAUCCUCAUUUCUGCUUUUCUCCAUGUGGUGCAUUUGACACACCUUCCUCUCAGAUCUCCUCUCCUGCCCGGUCUUUAAUAGUUCCCUGCAAUCCCUGUUAGUUAUAUUUUAUAGAAGAAGAAGCCGUAUUAGAAGAAGAAGAAGAUGAUAGAUAGAUAGAUAGAUAGAUAGAUAGAUUGAUACUUUAUUGAUCCCUAAGAGGGAAAUGUUGGUAUCACAGCAGCAUAUACAGGGAAGAAAAUAUUAUUAAAAGAUACACAUUAUAUACAAUAUUAUAAGAUAAAAAAGAUUAAAUUAUUGAAUAAAAUAAACUAAAACAAAAUAAGAAGAAGCCUUAUUAUAAUAAUAAUAAUAAUAAUAAGAAGCCAUAUUAUAAGAAGAAGAAGAAGAAGAAGACGCUGUGUUAGAAGAAGGAAAAGAAGAAGAAGCCGUAUUAGAAGAAGAAGAAGAAGAAGAAGCCGUAUUUUAAGAAGGAGAAGAAGAAGCCGUAUUAGAAGAAGAAGAAAUAAGAUUUUCCCUUUAUUAGUGCUCUUUGUAAUUGGAUGAAAUGAAACCAUUGCAAGUUAUCUCCCCACACUCUGUGAUAAUAACCAUCAGAAACCCAGUUUAAGUUAACUACACAGGAGACAAAUAAGCUUACCUCGAGUACUGCAUUUGUGGCGGUAGAGAAGGCGUAGAUACAGUGUAAAGCACGCAGAAGUACUCGUAGUACUCGUGUUUUCUUUUUCUAAAGCAGCAGCGGGAUUCGUCUGGAGUCGGGUUACCUCACGUCUGCACGUCUAGUUUUGCUGUCAGAUUCUAUAACAGCAUUAUUCUUGUGCUGCACAGCGCCGCAUAUAGCGCAAGCUUUUCCUCCAUCACAAAAUUGCCGGUGCAUUCUGCGCGGCCCUGCUGAUGGAUGGCCACUUACAAGCAUCACUAUAUACUCUCCUCUCCCGCUCCGCUUCUCAAUCCUUUCAUGCGUGGAGAGGUUUGAUCUAAUAGUCCGUAGAGCCAAUCAAGUAUUUCUUCACUUGGGGGGGCCACGGAUUUACGUUGGGGCUAAUGCAGCCAGCGCCCCGCUGCUUCCUGAAUGGUAUAACGCUCUCUUGAAGGAUUUCUAUGAAAUCAGCCAUGGUAACGGCCAGCGGGGAUUCUAAAACAAGGCGACCGGAGACAAAUAUGUGGUUUGAAUGAACCACUACCACACUGCAGUGGAGGCUUUAGUAGAAAUGCCUCUUGCCAUUAGAAAGCUGUUUUCAUCCUGGUGCAGUUUCAGAAAUGACAAUAUCCUUAUUGUUUAAUUUGCUAAAUAUUUUUAGUACUAGAUUCGAUCCUUUCUUUUCUUUAUCAAAUAGUGAAGUGAGAGAAACAUCUAGUAAAUAUCUAGUUUUUGUCCGAAUACACAUUCCAAUUCCAAAUACAAGUAAGUAAGUACGUAGUGUUCUUUCAUAUAGGACCAAAAGAAGCUGCAUGUCCUCACAUUCGGAACACUAUUUUUGAACUCAAGACCAGAUCGCUUAUGUAUCACCCUGUUCACCCUGAACAAAAGUGCACGGUGUGCAAAUCUUACUAGAACCAAGACAGAACUCACACUCAAGAAGAAAGACCUUUGUCAGUCCUUUGCUUAUUUUCACAAUUUCUACAAGAAAAUGUCUUGAUUAAACAUAUGAUCUGAAUGAAGAAGACCUAAUGAUGGCAUUAGAAAGGGAACACGAGAGGUCACCUAAUAGUUGGUCGCUACGCUUGCUCUAAUAAUGAAUCCGUGUCGCACUUUUUUUUUUUUUUAGAAUAAUCCAAACAUUGAAAUAGAUGCCAAUGACAGCAUAACGAAACUUAGACUGGAACCAUUAACUGUGCUGGUUAGUGGCCGACGAGCUGUGGGAGGGACGACCGCUCCUGUCUCGACGGCGUUGAAAUACCGCGCAGGUUUCUGUCACCGCGACUCCAGGACGACCUCUGAGCUGUGAAGAAGGCUCUACCGCUCUGCACCGCGGGUGUGUCUGUGUGUGUGUGUGUGAAUACGUUUGACGGCGAGGAUUAUAUAACAGAGACGCCCGCUGCUGCAGGUCACCGUGAAUGACAGCAGGCACGUGGAAAUCAUUACCAAUACAAACGUGGCGUAGCCGCGCUCUCUCGUCUCUGCAUUCGCUCCAUUUGACCUGCAGCCUGACGAGCUGCACGUCAUAUGUACUGUGUGUGUGUGUGUGUGUGUGUGCAGGAAAGAGUUUAGCGUGGGACAGUGCUUCCCACCCCGAGAGAAUGCAUGAACAAACCUGACGAGACGGCUCUGAUGAGCCGCGUGAAGCCGAACAAACACAAACACGAAGGGACAUACGGAGCCCACCUACACACGCGGAGAUCCAUCUGUCCGUUUCCAUGUUCAGGACUAUUGAUUUCUGUUGUCACGCACACACAAUUACACUCGCACACUCAUACGCACCCCUACUAGAGCAGCAGCCAUGGAGUGUUUUUUAACAUCUGUAGUAGGUAUGUGGCUGCUCCACCGCCGAACAUACCGGCCCGUGUGAACUUGUAUGAAGAAAAAUACCAAUUAUGUAUAAAGAUGUAACGCAGUCCGUGUCUCUUUCCCCUCUCGUCUCAAUCUGCACUUCUCCUUUAAUGCGCAUCCACUGAAAAUAGAGUUCAUGAGCGAGGAUGACUUGUGUGGAGGACACACGGAUCCAGUUUGGCCACUGAUUCUAUUCUAAAGGAAGUUUGUGAAUUAUUAAAACGCCGGUCUUCUUCCUCUGCUCCUCUCUCUCUCUCUCUCUCCCUUUCCUCUUUAGAUCUAAUUGUUCUCUUUUCU
ensembl:lncRNA